GCCCGCAGCUGUGUAUAAUGCUAUUCGCUUAACAGCGGAAAACAUGGCAAUGACCUGAAUCUCCCCGGCUCCCAGGAUCCUGCCCACUUAAGUUAAACAAAUGAAAUAACUCCCACUGUCAGUUAAACUGGCGGUGGGCGCUGGUUUUUUUCCAGGGAAGGAUUCUGGGAGAGGAGGAGGAGACGCCAGCUUUUCGCCCGAGCACCUCCAGUGGGCUGCGGUCCGCUCUCAACCUCACUGGAACAGCCCCCGCCCUCCCAGAGUCCGUUAGUCCAAGUCACGUGAUCGUGGAAUCAGCUGACCCCACGCGACUGGGAAAAGAAAUUCCCGGGCCCUUCCUGGCGCGAUGAUGAGGCGCCAGGGGUGAAGCAAGGCAUGGGCUGCUGGAGCGGGAAUUCGGGGGCGCCAGUGGCUCCGGAAACGGGGGAGGUUGUCUGCCCUGGCCUCUCCGGAAAUACAGUGUGUGCGAGCGUGAGGGCUGCCGGUCUGGUAGAGAAAAGUCCACCGCCAUCCCGCUCCCGAGACGGGGGCGGGGGUGAGGGGCGGGUAAGACGGAGCAGGCCGGCCAGCUCAGAGUCCCCGCGCUUCCCUGGCGGGAGGAAGGGCCCCUGUCUCCGGGGGCAGGAAGUGGGGCUUGUCUGGAGCUGGGAGUCCUUUCAGGUCUUCCCCAGCCCCAAGAGGACCUCCCAAGGACACCGUCUUCCCCAGCCCUCCUGUGGGACUUGGACACUUGCUUAGAAUCAGUCUCACCCUUCCACAGUGUUAGGAAGCCCCUCCACUCUCUCCCGAAAGUAGUAGUUUUGGGGUUGAGACUUAUCUGUCCAUCCAUCUAAUCCACCCAUCCAUCCAUCCAAUCCAUCCAUCCGUGCGUUCUAAGCGUCUAGUCCAUACCAUGAAGUGUGCUAGGCACUGGGACGACUUGAGCUGCGAGGGAAGGGGAAAUCGGAGGCUUGAAUUGGCAGUCAUAGUUAAGGCUCCAGGGGCAGAGACCUAACCACGCCUUGUGUGUAGUGCUAAGGGGCCUCCCUGAGGAUGCCAUCAACCUUAAAGGCCGAUGGCAGGAACUGGCUGGCUGAAGUAGUUUGUGUACCAGGGGUUGGGAGGCAAGGGUGGGAGGUGUAUGUCUUCAGACAGGGAACAGCAUGUGCAGAGACCAGGUUAGAGAGAGCAUGGCUCCCCAGGAAUGAAUACAUUUCCCAUAGCUGGGAGAGUAUCAUCUGGAGGUUAGGGAAAGAUGAGGUUGCACAAGUAAAGAUCAAAUCUUCCUGGCUCUUGGAUCACCACAAUCAAGAUAAUGAACAUAUCCACCCACCCCCAAAAUUUCCUUGUGUGAGGGGCUAUUUUAGGAAGUAUGAUCAAGAAGGGCCGGCCUGACCGGGUGCAGUGGCUCAAGCCUGUAAUCCCAGCACUUUGGGAGGCUGAGGUGUGUGGAUGACCUGAGGUCAGGAGUUCGAGAUCAGCAUGGCCAACAUGGUGAAACCCUGUCUCUACUAAAAAUACAAAAAAGCCGGGUGAGAUGGUGCAUGCCUGCAGUCCCAGCUACUUGGGAGGCUGAGGCAGAAUUGCUUGAACCCGGGAGACGGAUGUUACAGUGAGUCAAGAUUGUGCCAUUGCACUCCAGCCUGGGCAACAGAGCGAGACUCCGUCUUUAAAAAAAAAAAAAAGAGGGGGCCGGUCUGAUGAGGGGUCACUUGAGCCGAGAGUGGAAUGAAAUAAAGGAUAGCAAGCCACACAGAGAAUGCAGCAGGCAUGGCGGCGGGAGCAAGGCUGGUGUCCCCGAGCAGCAGCAGGGAAGCCGGAGUGGCUGGACUUGUGUGGGUAUGGGGAAGAGGGGAGAGAGAUCACCCAUCUGUGUGAGGCCCAGGACUUUGUUUUAUCCCCUGCUGUACCCCCAGCGCUUAGAGUGGGAGCUAGCACAGAGAAGGCGCUUGAUUGAUGUUUGCUGAGCAGACGAAUGCCUGGAGUAGACCUCAGAGCAGGGUUUGGUGGCAGGGUGGGUCAGGGAGAGAGUUCACUCAACACCCUGGUGAUAGGGGAGAACAAGUGGCCAGAGGGUGUCCAUCUGUGAUGGGGACCAGGGUUCCCUGCUGGACAGAAGUGUGGGAGACACGGACCCUGGCCACACCUCAGCCUUCCCUCAGGCCUGAUUACCUGCCUCCCUCCCUUGCAGAAGUUUCAGUUCUCUGGUGAUCUGGACUGUCCCAAGUGGGUCCUGGCAGAGAUUGGCACGCUGGCCAAGAUGGUUGAGUGCACAGGGUCUAGUCUGGGUGGAGGAGGGGUGCUGGGGCUGGGGAUUGUGGGUGUAGAUGAUGGUGAGGUUUUUCUGGGGUUGGGACCUCAGUGGUCUCAGCCUGUGCUACCAUGCUUUGUGACCUUGAUCAGCGGCUGGCCUGCUCUGAGCCAGUCCCCAGGAAGGAGGGGUGAGGUUUGCCAGCCUGGCUGAUGUAAGGACUUCCCUUCCAGUCCUCUGUGAAGUUGCAGCUGCUCUGCAGCCAGGUACUAAAGAGCUGCUGGGACAGGGGAAUGAUGAUCCAGGCUAGGGGUGAGGGGCUGGUGAAUAGGGUACUGGCACCCCCCGAAGGUCUCCUUUCCCCAUAGUAUGAGAAGAUCCUGAAGCUCAUGGCUGAUGCCAAGUUUGGUGAGUACCCCGCUGAGUCCACAGGCCCCAGGCAACCCUGGGACUUCGACAUGGUGCCUGGUACAGAGGGGCCCCCCACCCCUCCCUGCAGCAUCCUUAACUUACCUUCCCUAGUGGAGGAGCAUGAGGGAAAGAAAGACAUGGACAGUCCCACCUUCCUGUCCUCUGCCAGUUCCUGGUGGAGCAGGAGCAGUGCCUGUGGCUUCAGGAGGCCUGGGAGCUUUGUGCUGAAGUUAAUAGGGCAACUGGGAGGUGGCUGGGGCCACAGUGACACCCCCUGUCCCACUCACGGGUCCAUCAGAGUCAGGCGAUGUGAAGGCCACAGUAGCAGUGCUGAGUUUCAUCCUCUCCAGUGCGGCCAAGCACAGUGUCGAGGGCGAAUCCUUGGCCAGUGAACUGCAGCAGCUGGGGCUGCCCAAAGGUAUGGGUUGUGGGUGGGCUGCUGGGCAGCCUGUGUGGGCCAAGGGCUGCUACCAAAGCCGUGUGACCCUGAGGUGUACUCUGCCUCGUCUGGGCCAGGAACCUAAGCCAAGCCCCCACCUGCUACCCACAGAGCUACUCCAUUCUAUCCCCAGAGCAAGCGGCCGGCCUGUGCCGCUGUUAUGAGGAGAAGCAAAGCCCCUUGCAGAAGCACUUGCGGAUCUGCAGCCUACGCAGCAAGUAUGAGGCCAGCCAGGGUCCAGGCUCCUUCUAGAAGGUGCAUGCAGCACAAAGUGCAUGGAGAGUCCAGGGAGACAACUUAACCAUGGUCACAUACCAAGCAGCUGCAGAGCUGGGACCUGACCCUGGCUCUCCUGACUCCGCGGGCUGUGGAUUUGUACCUACAGGAUCAGACCUUGCCCUUUCCUCCUGGCUGACCCUUCCCUAGUCCCCUGUGCCCCAUGUGUGAGCACCCAGCUCACUCUUAUUCCUCCCUCUCCAAAGCAUGGUCCCUGGGAGCACCAGGGGCAAAAGGGGCAGCAGAGACUGUGGACCCCUCAGCUGCACCUAAGACCUCUGUGUGGUCUAGCUAUGUGUGCUGGGGGAGGCUUUUGGCCACCAUUUCCCCCUCUGUAAAUGAGACCGAUACCUGUGGCAUGGAGGGCGGGAGGCCGGUGUGAGUGACAAGCACUUGGAGCAGGGCCCUGAGUGAGCAUGGACUUGGAAACGGGUGUUCCUUGACCUUAUGCACCUUGGGAAUGGGAGUGGGGCUCCCUGCGUGGGUUGAUAGUUCAUUGCUUUCCCCCACUCUGCCUCUUUCCCAGCCCUGCAAGUCCAGUCAUUGGGGGUCCAGAAGGGAAGAAGCCCCUGGCUGUGUUACUUUGGGCUGGUGCCUGGCCCUCUCUGGCUCUGAGUUCCUGGGAACGUCAGCACCCAAGCCAUGCCCUCAAGUUUAGCACCUUGACAAGAAAGGCGGGGACACUGGGAUCAGGCCCACCCCCCUGGCCUUAAACCCUAUGGCCCCAGCUGGAGGAUGAGGAGGUGCUGGGCUUGGAUGGGGGAAUCAGGGGUGUAAAGGGAUCUGCUCGCCCCUCAGCUUGGCUCAAAGGCUCGAGGCAUCAAUGGUUGAGCCUGCCCCUCAGGAAGCAGCCCGGGCCCAGCCAGACACUCACCAGGACGAGGGCAACUCUGACGAGCAGGAGGCCCAGGAUGAGGAGAGCCAUGGCAUAGCUGGAGAUGAAGACGCCCAGCGGGCUGGAGGCUUUGGGGCCAGGAGUGCCUAGAGCAGAGCUAGAAGACUAUGACCAG